CUGUCUGUAUAUUCUGCGUAGCGUCUGUCUGGUUAUUCUGCGUAGCGUCUGUCUGUAUAUUCUGCGUAGCGUCUGUCUGUAUAUUCUGCGUAGCGUCUGUCUGGUUAUUCUGCGUAGCGUCUGUCUGUAUAUUCUGCGUAGCGUCUGUCUGUAUAUUCUGCGUAGCGUCUGUCUGGUUAUUCUGCGUAGCGUCUGUCUGGUUAUUCUGCGUAGCGUCUGUCUGUAUAUUCUGCGUAGCGUCUGUCUGUAUAUUCUGCGUAGCGUCUGUCUGGUUAUUCUCCGUAGCGUCUGUCUGUAUAUUCUGCGUAGCGUCUCUCUGUAUAUUCUGCGUAGCGUCUGUCUGUAUAUUCUGUGUAACGUCUGUCUGUAUAUUCUGUGUAACGUCUGACGGUAUAUUCCGUUUUUUUGUGUACAUUCAGUUUUUAUUACGUUUAUUGUGGCAGCUCCAUUUCACCAGGUCAAAUUCCUGGUACAGGCAAAUGUACUUGGUGAACAAAGGUGAUUCUGGUUCUCACACACAAAAUAGGCCUACAUGAAGCAAUACCUGUGUAUUUGCACCAUAGUGUUUGCAACAUAGUCAUCACCAAUCAAAAUACUACCUAUUGACCAAUAUGUAUGUGCAAUUCAGGCAUAAAUGGUACUGGUGUAAAAGGUACUGGUAAAACCGGACCCUAAAUCAGCACUCUUACUCUGAAAGGCUUGAUACAUAUGGCCCCAGAGCACACACAACGGUUAUAUUUCCUCAAAAUCACUUUCAUCAUCUUCAGAGGAGCUCAUACAACAUUCAGAGAUUAUGAGUCAGACGGGGAUGAUUAGAUUUAAAAGCAUCGCUAGUGGGGUAUCUGUUAAGCGGAGCGACAGGGGAGCCUAAGAGCAGACUCAGAUGAGGAAGCAGGGAUGAAUGAACCAAAAUAUUUAUUGUUGGAAAAGAGCCCCUUAAUCCCAGAUUUGGGACCACACAGCCACUGUCACUGAUUCCUUCCAAACCACUCAUUGUUAAAUUUGCGAUUUCCAACUUGUUGUGUAAUGUUCAUGUCCAAUGGCCGAUGAGCACCGAUAAAUUUGAUCUAUAAUUUCUCUUCAUUAUUUCUCUUCAUAUGACAAGGAUUAAAAAGGAUUUGCCAGUAGAUUGUCGACUUCAUUCAUGAUGAUGACUGCUAGCUAAGAUUUUGAAAUGAUCAGUCCAAUCAAAGAUACUGCACAUAUACCGUGAUUUGACGUAAUUUUAUCUGUGGGUAAUGACCUUGAACCUUCUUGGAUGGGCACUUCUAAUGUAACUCUAUGGCAGUGCCCAAGGGGCUUGAAUUUUCGAGUUCUAACCUUAGACUGGCGGUGACGUAGUGUCCUCAUGAGUGACAGAAGACUGAGCCAAUCACGGCGCAACACUCCGUAUUUUCUGCUGGCUUGCCCCACCACCACAGAAAGCACUGAGCUAGACUGAAACACCUGCAUUUUGGAGCUGCCUUACUCAAGAAAUAAAAAAAGAGACAAUGUUGGUAGGCGGCUUUAUUAACUCAAUUAUAUAUAUAUUUUACAUUGUUUGCAAACUGAUAUGUGACAUGUAUUAAUGCCAAAAUAACAUGCAAAACAGGUGAGCCACCCAAAAUAUAUAUAUUGUUUUGCUAAAAAUGUGGGGCUCAAAACAGGUGCAGCCCUGAAUACUGUUUGAUAGUAAAGUUUCUGAUAUAAAUAGUUAGUCUCUCACCUGGAUGGCUUUGAGGCAUUCAAAA
rnacentral:lncRNA from 1 species